GCUGCACGAGCGGUUCCGGCUGCAGCUCCGGCUCCGCUUCCUGUGAUUAGGAAGCCACUCAAAGAAAUUCGAAUUUCCUUCCACCAAGUUGCAGUUGGCCCUCCGUAGACUGAUUGCAAGGAAGAGAGGCGGAAGCCGACCACGAGUAGUCCGAACAAGAAUUGAUAUGAAAAGACACCGGAGGUCGCGGAGAGACGGACAUAAUAUCCCUAUGUAACCCUAGUUGGCCUGAAAUUUGCUAUGUCGAUAUGUGGAUCAGGAUGGCUUGUAACUCAGAGAUCUACCUAUCUCUGCUUACUGAAGAUUUGGAGUUAAAAGUAGCCGCUAAAAGUAAGUCUAAACAAACAAACAAAAACUUCAAUUUGUGAGAAGCUCAGCAGAUAAUGGUGCUUGCUGCCAGCUUUGACAAGUUAAACUCAGUCACCAGGAAACAUAUGGUGAAGGGAGAGAACCAACCCAUUCUCUGACCGCAACACCCCCUCCCCUACACACACAAUGGAUAAAUUGAUGCAAUACAUUUUAAGAAACAUAUACUGAACAGAGAAAGCGGAAGAGAAUUGCUACACAUCCCCAGGGCGGAAGCCCCCUUAUAGCAGUUGAGAGAAGUUAUCGGGCCAGUCGGUCGGGAUUAUAUUUGGGAAGAGUUUUAAGGCAGCUUACUAUCUUGAGAUAGUUGAUCCAAGAAUGACUGGUUGAGCUGAGGUCCAGAAUAUGAGUUAGCCUGUUUGCUAAGGCAUUGAAAAUCACUGGGAGGCUCCAAGCUAUUAAGGUCUGUGAGAAAUUUUUGUUUUUAAAUAUGUAUUUAUUCACUGUUCAGCUAUUUCAUGUGUGUGUCACUCCAGCAUGGCUGUGGAGGUCAGAGGGCAAUGAGUGAGUCCGUUGUCUCAUUUCACCACGCCUGUUAUAUACCCUUGAUGCCAGGUAAUUCCCAUUUAUGCAGGAUGACUACAAUUUUUUUCUAAUACUACUUAGUACUUUUGGGGAUGCCAUUUUAUGAAGUCAAUAAAUUUAUAGUAACUGAUGUAAGCCAGGAAUAGUGGCACAUGCCUUUAAUACCAAGAUUCAGGAAGCAAAGGUGAGCAGAUCUGAGUUCAAGGCCAGUCUUAUCUACAUAGUGAGCUCCAGGCCAGCCAAGUCUAAUGAGAGUCUGUGUCAAAAGACAAAUUGAAAAAAUAAUAAUACUAGGGGCUAGGAAGAGAUCAGUGAGUAUGAAUGCUUGCUCGGAAAGAAUGAAGGCCUGGAAUCCCGUGUCCACUAACAAGGCGGGAAUGCUGCAUUGCCGAGCUCAUUCUUAUGAAACCUUUUAGUUACUGCUGUGAACAUCUCAUUCAUGUCCUUUGCAGGCUUCGAAACUGCACACUGUUGGUCUGCAUAGGCUUUUGUGCUUCCUGGAAUCCCACAGCAUUGUCAGGCCCGCCAUGUGACUCAAGUACUACAAUGAGUUCAAGCUGACCUUCCUCUAGCUCCUUCACUGUCUUUUUAGCUUACUCUUUAACAUGGUUUUUGAAGAGCUUCAUUUUGUUUUUCAAGACAGGGUUUCUCUGUAUACCCCCAGCUGUCCUAAAAUUCACUCUGUAGAACAGGCUGACCUCAAACUCACUAAGAUCUAGCUGCCUCUGCCUCCCAAGUGCUAGGAUUAAAGACAUGCACCACCACUGCCCAGCUUUGUUAUGCUGUUAAAAAAAAAUUUUUUAGCUGGGUGUAGUGAUGAUAACUUUAACCCCAGCACACCAGAAGCAAUCAGGCAGAUUUUUGAGUUUAAGAUGAAUCUGGUCUACAUCAUGCUAGAUCCCAUCUCAAAUAUAAAUAAAUAAGAAAGUCUA